rnacentral:lncRNA from 1 species
ACCUGUCAACACCGUAAGGUUUUGGUUCAUUGAUUUUUUCCAGAAAACUUGGCUGAAAAGUUCAUGUCCCGAAAAUUUGUAGAAGCUCAUGCAGCAGUCUUGGAAAGGAAAAAUGCUUUAGAUGGCUGGUUCAUAUACAUGAAUAGUAUUUUGAUCCAUCUGCAGAAGAAACUCCUCAUACACGUAUAUCCAGCUCUCUAUAAUAUUAUUUAAUUAGGAAAUUAUAUUUCUAAACUUUGUUCAAACAAAAAACCCUUGAAUGUUAUCAUUUCUUGUCGCUCGAAAAAGGAGGGCCGGGGUUCAAUUUUAACUGGAGUCAAUUCUCGA